rnacentral:misc_RNA from 1 species
UUUCCGUAGGUGAACCUGCGGAAGGAUCAUUAUUGAAUGAAACACUUCUGGCUUUAUGCUGUUGUGCUGGCCCUUUGGGCAAUGUGCACACGGCUCUGGUCACUUGUUUCUUCUGUUCCACCUGUGCACUGCCUGUAGACACGCUGUGUCUAUGAUAUUUGUUAACACACAACAAUGUUAGUUGGCAUGUUAUAUAUAAUAAUAAAAUAUACAACUUUCAACAACGGAUCUCUUGGCUCUCGCAUCGAUGGAACGCAGC